GGCUUGAGAGUAAAUGAGACUUAUACUAAAAGUGGAACCAUACAGAGAAGAUUAGCAUGGUCCCUGCACAAGGAUGACAGGCAAAUUUGUGAUGUGCUCCAUAUUUUU